rnacentral:rRNA from 1 species
UGGGGAAUAUUGCGCAAUGGGGGAAACCCUGACGCAGCGACGCCGCGUGCGGGAUGAAGGCCUUCGGGUUGUAAACCGCUUUCAGCGGGGACGAAGCGAAAGUGACGGUACCCGCAGAAGAAGCCCCGGCCAACUACGUGCCAGCAGCCGCGGUAAGACGUAGGGGGCGAGCGUUGUCCGGAUUCAUUGGGCGUAAAGCGCGCGCAGGCGGCCCGGUAAGUCGGAUGUGAAAACCCGGGGCUCAACCCCGGGCCUGCAUUCGAUACUGUCGGGCUUGAGGCAGGUAGGGGAGAUCGGAAUUCCCGGUGUAGCGGUGAAAUGCGCAGAUAUCGGGAGGAACACCGGUGGCGAAGGCGGAUCUCUGGGCCUGUCCUGACGCUCAGGCGCGAAAGCUGGGGGAGCAAACAGG